AGUGAAACCAGCAUCCUGUCUUUGACUCUUGGGUGGAUCCAUGUAUAAGAUGUACAAUGGCAAAGAAGACUUGCUGUUGCUGCCUCCAUUCUCUACGCCUUAUUUCUGUUGACCAACUGUAUACUUGCCUAUUACUGUGAGUAUUCUCCACCAAUAUAGCAUUGCGCGAAGAAACAAUGUCGCACUUUUUAGAUGGAAUAUAUUGGAUGAAAUUCAAAAAUGGGUUGUAAUGUUUUGCCGACUAGUGUGAAGGCCUUAUCAAUCACUGGUUUCCUCUCCAUGUCUCUCAACUAUGGUCUAGUCACUUUAAUGAACAUCAUUUUAUGGACAAUUGAAUGUUGAAUUUGCCAGUUCAGAGAAGUAAAGCCUGGCAGUCUGCCAGUGGAGUGUGGUAUAAAACCAGUUAGUAGCUCGGACAAAGGUAAGUCUGUUUGUUUUCUCCCUCCCUUGUGUCCUGUAAGAUUAGUUCAUUUAUUUCUCAGUGUUCAUUUGGGUACCUAAACAAACGGCUAUUUUUAUACAUUUUAAACAAAGUCUGCAACAAAGGCGACGCAUUCAGCAACAAGAGCAGGGUUGUGGGAAAUUAACGUUAUAAUCUGCACAUCAUCCAUAGUGUUGUUAUUUUGCUCUGAGAAAUAGGCCCCCUCCCCUCUUCUUACUAUUUUGUGUUUUUUUAAAUUAUGGAUCCCACUCUUCCUCUGGUCCAGCAAAAAACUAAGGCACCUAUACAUUUAAAAAAAAACAUUACAGUACAUUCACAACAGAUUUCACAACACACUAAGUGUGUGUUCCCUUCAGGCCCCUACUCCACUACCACAUAUCUACAACACAAAAUCCAUGUGUACAUGUGUGUGUAUAGUGCAUAUGUUAUUGUGUGUUUGUGUGUUGCUUCACAGUCCCCGCUGUUCCAUAAGGUGUAUUUUUAUGUUUUUUAAAAUCUAAUUUUACUGCUUGCAUGAGUUACUUGAUGAGGAAUAGAGUUCCAUGUAGUCAUGGCUCUAUGUAGUACUGUGCAUCUGCCAUAUUCUGUUCUGGACUUGGGGACUGUGGAGAGACCUCUGGUGGUAUGAAUGGGUGUCUGAGCUGUGUGCCAGUAGUUCAAACAGACAGCUUGGUGCAUUCAAGUUAAUACCGCUCACAAAUACAAGUAGCGAUGAAGUCGAUCUCUCCUCCACUUUGUGCCAGGACAGAUUGACAUGCAUAUUAUUGUUAGUCC
ensembl:lncRNA